CAAUAGCGUAUAUUAAUGUUGUUGCAGUUAAAAAGCUCGUAGUUGGAUUUCUGGCUGGAGUGUCCGGUCCGCCCCUCACGGGGUGUGUUACUUGGGUUACUUUGGCCAUCCUUGGCGAGAGCGAUGUGGGCAUUAAGUUGUUCGUGUUGGGAUCGCCAUCAUUUACUGUGAAAAAAUUAGAGUGUUUAAAGCAGGCGUUUGCUGUGAAUACAUUAGCAUGGAAUAAUAAUCUAGGACUUCGGUUCUAUUUUGUUGGUUUCUAGUACUGAAGUAAUGAUUGAUAGGGAGUCGUUGGGGGUGGCUAGUAUUGAGCGGCCAGAGGUGAAAUUCUUGGAUUCGCUCAAGACUAACUUAUGCGAAAGCAUUUG
rnacentral:rRNA from 1 species